rnacentral:rRNA from 1 species
UACUGCCUAUCAGAGGGGAAUAACAGUGAGAAAUCACUGCUAAUACCGCAUAUGCCAUAGGAAUCGCAUGAUUCUAGUGGGAAAGGAGCAAUCCGCUGAUAGAUGAGCUUGCGUCUGAUUAGCUAGUUGGUGGGGUAACGGCCUACCAAGGCGACGAUCAGUAGCCGGACUGAGAGGUUGGCCGGCCACAUUGGGACUGAGAUACGGCCCAGACUCCUACGGGAGGCAGCAG